AACGAACGCUGGCGGCAGGCCUAACACAUGCAAGUCGAACGCAUCCUUCGGGGUGAGUGGCGCACGGGUGAGUAACACGUGGGAAUGUACCCUUUGGUUCGGAAUAACGUUUGGAAACGAACGCUAAUACCGGAUGAGCCCUACGGGGGAAAGACUUAUCGCCAAAGGAGCAGCCCGCGUCUGAUUAGCUAGUUGGUGGGGUAAAGGCCUACCAAGGCGACGAUCAGUAGCUGGUCUGAGAGGAUGAUCAGCCACACUGGGACUGAGACACGGCCCAGACUCCUACGGGAGGCAGCAGUGGGGAAUAUUGGACAAUGGGCGCAAGCCUGAUCCAGCCAUGCCGCGUGAGUGAUGAAGGCCUUCGGGUUGUAAAGCUCUUUCGCACGCGACGAUGAUGACGGUAGCGUGAGAAGAAGCCCCGGCUAACUUCGUGCCAGCAGCCGCGGUAA
rnacentral:rRNA from 1 species